rnacentral:lncRNA from 1 species
GGAAUAGGGAUGCCUCCUCCAACCUGAAUUUCAGGGAGGCUUCAGUGCCAAAGAAGGGUUUUCAAAUGUGGAAGGCUGAACCUUGGUGGUUAAUUUAGUUAAGCAACUACCUCUAGCAGACACAAGAUGGUUUUGUGGAGGUGAAGUCUUGGUAACUUGUCUUUCCAGUUGCAACUUCCUCCUGUUGGAUCCUCACAAAAAGGGGAGGUGUGAUCCCUUUUGUGCAAGAGUAAAGUAGAACUUGCAUGUCUCCUCCUGCGAUGGCAGCAGUUCCUCUGGGGACUCUCUGUAGUGGUGCAAUGCUAAUAAGCAGCUGAUGGUGCAGAUUUUAUUCAAAUGGCAUAUCCAAAUUCAGGAAUCUUAUCAUGCAGUGACUCAUUCUUGCACUUUCACAGAGAUAAGUUACUGCUUUGUACACUGCGCUCAUCAGUUUGCUAAAUUCUGUUUGUGUGAAAUUGAUUAAAGCCAAUGCAGAGAUGCAGUCUUAAAACUCCCCCCCACCUUUCAUAGGCCCCUGAAAGAGAGCAACAGCAGCCCUGGGGUCAGUUCUGGUUUGACUACGUCAUAGAGGGAUGUGCUUGGUCCCCCUCAUGCUCAUGAUGACAUUUGUGGUUCAUCUGCCUCCAAGAAGCUGCUUAGUUCAUCAGCCAAGCGGAGGACUUGACUUCAAAGCAGUGAGUGUUUGGUAGUCAUCCCCCUUUCUAAAGAUGGUAGAUAAUUCAUUUUUGAAGAUCUCCACCUCCCCCAUGCAUUUUAAGUUUCCUUACCCCAUGCAGUUCAGAUUAAUGCAUGGAAAUACCACAGCUCUGUGGGGUUUAUUUUUAAAGUAGCCUUUCCUUAACCACCACCUGCAUCGUAAGUAGCUGUGCAGUUUGUGAUCUUGCUCCUCAGCCUGUUGUAAAUGCUAACCUGUGUAAGUGCUGGGGUUUAAGCUAGGAGGAUGUUACAUCAUGUUUGGUAUCUAAACAUAAAGAAUUCCCAGCUGUAAAGUAAUUGUGGCAGAGUCCAACUGAAGAGUCAGAAUAUUUCUCACUCCCAUCAGCUCUCAGUGUUGGCAGGGGUGAGAUGCCUGUUAUUUCAGACCCAUGAUAAGUUGUAUGUAACUCAUUACACCUCUGUGUGCAACAUGCUGCUUUUACACACCAUAAAAUAAGUGAAAUCAAA